GUAGGUGGCAAGCGUUGUCCGGAAUUAUUGGGCGUAAAGCGCGCGCAGGCGGUUCUUUAAGUCUGAUGUGAAAGCCCACGGCUCAACCGUGGAGGGUCAUUGGAAACUGGAGAACUUGAGUACAGAAGAGGAAAGCGGAAUUCCACGUGUAGCGGUGAAAUGCGUAGAGAUGUGGAGGAACACCAGUGGCGAAGGCGGCUUUCUGGUCUGUAACUGACGCUGAGGCGCGAAAGCGUGGGGAGCAAACAGGGAUUAGAUACCCUGGUAGUCCACGCCGUAAACGAUGAGUGCAAAGUGUUAGGGGGUUUCCGCCCCCUUAGUGCUGCAGCUAACGCAUUAAGCACUCCGCCUGGGGAGUACGGCCGCAAGGCUG
rnacentral:rRNA from 1 species